GUGGGGAAUAUUGGACAAUGGGCGAAAGCCUGAUCCAGUCAUGCCGCGUGUGUGAAGAAGGUCUUCGGAUUGUAAAGCACUUUAAGUUGGGAGGAAGGGCAGUAAGUUAAUACCUUGCUGUUUUGACGUUACCGACAGAAUAAGCACCGGCUAACUUCGUGCCAGCAGCCGCGGUAAUACGAAGGGUGCAAGCGUUAAUCGGAAUUACUGGGCGUAAAGCGCGCGUAGGUGGUUUUGUAAGUUGUAGGUGAAAUCCCCGGGCUCAACCUGGGAACUGUCUCCAAAACUGCAUGACUAGAGUACGGUAGAGAGUAGUGGAAUUUCCUGUGUAGCGGUGAAAUGCGUAGAUAUAGGAAGGAACACCAGUGGCGAAGGCGACUACCUGGACUGAUACUGACACUGAGGUGCGAAAGCGUGGGGAGCAAACAGGAUUAGAAACCCCGGUAGUCC
rnacentral:rRNA from 1 species